rnacentral:rRNA from 1 species
UACGAAGGGGGCUAGCGUUGCUCGGAAUCACUGGGCGUAAAGGGUGCGUAGGCGGGUUUUUAAGUCAGGGGUGAAAUCCUGGAGCUCAACUCCAGAACUGCCUUUGAUACUGAAGAUCUUGAGUCCGGGAGAGGUGAGUGGAACUGCGAGUGUAGAGGUGAAAUUCGUAGAUAUUCGCAAGAACACCAGUGGCGAAGGCGGCUCACUGGCCCGGUACUGACGCUGAGGCACGAAAGCUAGGGGAGCAAACGGG